rnacentral:snRNA from 1 species
AGCUUUGCGCAGUGGCAGUAUCGUAGCCAAUGAGGUUUAUCCGAGGUGAGAUUAUUGCUAAUUGAAAACUAAUCCAGCAAAACAGAGAAACAAUUCCAAUCUCUGAUUUACAUGCUUCUCCUGGCAAUUAA